AGUGGCGGACGGGUGAGUAAUGUGUAGGUAAUCUACCUCCAAGUUGGGAAUAACCCUUCGAAAGGAGGGCUAAUACCGAAUACGAUCCGCGAAUGGAAAGAUGCGCUUGGAGAUGAGCCUACAUCCCAUUAGCUAGUUGGCAGGGUAAAAGCCUACCAAGGCGAUGAUGGGUAGCUGGUCUGAGAGGACGACCAGCCACACUGGCACUGAGACACGGGCCAGACUCCUACGGGAGGCAGCAGUGAGGAAUAUUGCGCAAUGGGCGAAAGCCUGACGCAGCGACGCCGCGUGAGGGAUGAAGGUCUUCGGAUUGUAAACCUCUUUCGAUUGGGAAGAAUGACGGUACCAGGAGAAGAAGCCACGGCUAACUCUGUGCCAGCAGCCGCGGUAAGACAGAGGUGGCAAGCGUUGUUCGGAUUUACUGGGCGUAAAGCGUACGUAGGUGGUUGAAUAAGUCCAUCGUG
rnacentral:rRNA from 1 species